GUGAGGAAUAUUGGACAAUGGGCGCAAGCCUGAUCCAGCCAUGCCGCGUGCAGGAAGACGCAUCUAUGGUGUCUAAACUGCUUUUGUACGGGAAGAAACACUCCCUCGUGAGGGAGCUUGACGGUACCGUAAGAAUAAGGAUCGGCUAACUCCGUGCCAGCAGCCGCGGUAAUACGGAGGAUCCAAGCGUUAUCCGGAAUCAUUGGGUUUAAAGGGUCCGUAGGCGGUUUAAUAAGUCAGUGGUGAAAGCCCAUCGCUCAACGAUGGAACGGCCAUUGAUACUGUUAGACUUGAAUUACAAGGAAGUAACUAGAAUAUGUAGUGUAGCGGUGAAAUGCUUAGAUAUUACAUGGAAUACCAAUUGCGAAGGCAGGUUACUACUUGUGGAUUGACGCUGAUGGACGAAAGCGUGGGGAGCGAACAGGAUUAGAAACCCUUGUAGUCC
rnacentral:rRNA from 1 species